rnacentral:rRNA from 1 species
AUUGAACGCUGGCGGCAGGCCUAACACAUGCCAGUCGAGCGGAUGAAGGGAGCUUGCUCCUGGAUUCAGCGGCGGACGGGUGAGUAAUGCCUAGGAAUCUGCCUGGUAGUGGGGGAUAACGUCCGGAAACGGGCGCUAAUACCGCAUACGUCCUGAGGGAGAAAGUGGGGGAUCUUCGGACCUCACGCUAUCAGAUGAGCCUAGGUCGGAUUAGCUAGUUGGUGGGGUAAAGGCCUACCAAGGCGACGAUCCGUAACUGGUCUGAGAGGAUGAUCAGUCACACUGGAACUGAGACACGGUCCAGACUCCUACGGGAGGCAGCAGUGGGGAAUAUUGGACAAUGGGCGAAAGCCUGAUCCAGCCAUGCCGCGUGUGUGAAGAAGGUCUUCGGAUUGUAAAGCACUUUAAGUGGGGAGGAAGGGCAGUAAGUUAAUACCUUGCUGUUUUGACGUUACCAACAGAAUAAGCACCGGCUAACUUCGUG